rnacentral:sRNA from 22 species
UUGACACAAAGACACAAAAAAUUCUCUUUUCAUACAUAUUUAAUAUCAAAAAGAAUUUAUCGUUUUUUACGGAUAUGUAUUA